rnacentral:rRNA from 1 species
UACGUAGGGUGCGAGCGUUGUCCGGAAUUAUUGGGCGUAAAGGGCUCGUAGGCGGUCUGUUGCGUCAGGAGUGAAAACUCGGGGCUUAACCCCGAGCCUGCUUCUGAUACGGGCAGACUAGAGGUAUGCAGGGGAGAACGGAAUUCCUGGUGUAGCGGUGAAAUGCGCAGAUAUCAGGAGGAACACCGAUUGCGAAGGCAGCUCGCUGGGACGUUACUGACGCUGAGACGCGAAAGCUAGGGGAGCAAACGGG